ensembl:rRNA 5S_rRNA 5S ribosomal RNA
GUCUACAGCCAUGCCAUCCUGAAUGUGCCCAAGCUUGUCUGCUCUUGGAAGUUAGGCAGGGUCAGGUCUGGAUGGUACUUGGAUAGGAGAAAACUUAGUCAACA